rnacentral:rRNA from 1 species
GGGAGGGGCGCGAGCGUUGUCCGGAAUUACUGGGCGUAAAGGGGCGCAGGCGGCUAGGUAAGUCCUAUGUGAAAGCCCACGGCUCAACCGUGGAAAGCCAUAGGAUACUGCCCAGGCUAGAGACGGGUAGAGGCGAGUGGAAUUCCCGGUGUAGCGGUGGAAUGCGUAGAUAUCGGGAAGAACACCAGUGGCGAAGGCGACUCGCUGGGCCCGUUCUGACGCUCAGGUCCGAAAGCGUGGGGAGCAAACAGGAUUAGAUACCCUGGUAGUCCACGCCGUAAACGAUGGGCACUAGGUGCCGGGAAGUGUGACCUUUUCGGUGCCGUAGCUAACGCGUUAAGUGCCCCGCCUGGGGAGUACGGCCGCAAAGGCUG